rnacentral:sRNA from 1 species
UCAUUGCUGACACGAUUGCGUGAGGAA